UGGGGAAUUGUUCGCAAUGGGCGCAAGCCUGACGACGCAACGCCGCGUGGGGGAUGAAGGUCUUCGGAUUGUAAACCCCUGUUGGGUGGGACGAACACCUUCGUGGUGAAUAGCCAUGGAGGCUGACGGUACCACCUGAGGAAGCCCCGGCUAACUCUGUGCCAGCAGCCGCGGUAAUACAGAGGGGGCAAGCGUUGUUCGGAAUUACUGGGCGUAAAGGGCGCGUAGGCGGCCUGUUAAGUCAGACGUGAAAUCCCUCGGCUCAACCGGGGAACUGCGUCUGAUACUGGCGGGCUUGAAUUCGGGAGAGGGAUGUGGAAUUCCAGGUGUAGCGGUGAAAUGCGUAGAUAUCUGGAGGAACACCGGUGGCGAAGGCGGCAUCCUGGACCGACAUUGACGCUGAGGCGCGAAAGCCAGGGGAGCAAACGGG
rnacentral:rRNA from 1 species